GGGGGGGGGGGGGGGGGGGCGUGGCACGGGCAGGGCGAGCGGGGGGUGCCUGCUGUUGUGGGGUGGUCGAGGGUCGACCGGGUGAGUGACCGGUGAGUCACCGGCCCUUGACUUUGGUAUAACUUCAGGAAAACGGGACUCAUACCAGAUCGGCGAUCCUUCUUCCUGGUGGGGCGUGGCAAGUUUCGGCGGUUGGUGAUGGACUCGCGGCUUAUCAGUUUGCUUGUGGGGUAUUGGCUUACGAAGGCUUUGACGGGUAGCCGGCCUGAGAGGGUGACCGGCCACAUUGGGACUGAGAUACGGCCCAGACUCCUACGGGAGGCAGCAGUGGGGAAUAUUGCACAAUGGGCGGAAGCCUGAUGCAGCAACGCCGCGUGCGGGAUGACGGCCUUCGGGUUGUAAACCGCUUUCGCCUGUGACGAAGCGUGAGUGACGGUAAUGGGUAAAGAAGCACCGGCUAACUACGUG
rnacentral:rRNA from 1 species